rnacentral:rRNA from 2 species
AGAGUUUGAUCAUGGCUCAGAACGUACGCUGGCGGCACGCCUUAUACAUGCAAGUCGAACGAAGUAGCAAUACUUAGUGGCAGACGGGUGAGUAACAUGUGGGUAUCUUCCCUAUGGUGAGGAAUAACACGAGGAAACUUGUGCUAAUACCUCAUAAGUCUUUACGGAGAAAGCUUUAUGCGCCAUUGGAUGAGCCCGCACUUGAUUAGUUUGUUGGUAGGGUAACGGCCUACCAAGACUGUGAUCAAUAGCUGAUUUGAGAGGAUGAUCAGCCACAUUGGGACUGAGACACGGCCCAAACUCCUACGGGAGGCAGCAGUAAGGAAUCUUGCACAAUGGAGGAAACUCUGAUGCAGCGAUGCCGCGUGAGUGAAGAAGGCCCUUGGGUUGUAAAGCUCUUUCGUCGGGGAAGAAAAUGACUGUACCCGAAUAAGAAGGUCCGGCUAACUUCGUGCCAGCAGCCGCGGUAAUACGAAGGGACCUAGCGUAGUUCGGAAUUACUGGGCUUAAAGAGUUCGUAGGUGGUUAAAAAAGUUGGUGGCGAAAUCCCAGAGCUUAACUCUGGAACUGCCAUCAAAACUUUUUAGCUAGAGUAUGAUAGAGGAAAGCAGAAUUUCUAGUGUAGAGGUGA